UUGUUCACUUCAAACGGCGGCAAUGACGAGGAAGUCCGGUGCGAAUCCGGCGCGGUCCCGCCACUGUCAGCGGGAGGCGUGAGGCCGUCCCGUGAGCCAGGAACUCUGGCCGCCGUCACCACGAGCCG
rnacentral:ncRNA from 1 species